rnacentral:rRNA from 1 species
UACGUAGGUGACCAGCGUUGUCCGAUUUACUGGGCGUAAAGAGCGCGCAGGCGGUCGUUCAAGUCGAGUGUGAAAGCCCCCGGCUCAACUGGGGAGGGUCACUUGAUACUGAUCGACUGGAAGGCAGGAGAGGGAAGCGGAAUUCCCGGUGUAGUGGUGAAAUGCGUAGAUAUCGGGAGGAACACCAGUGGCGAAGGCGGCUUCCUGGCCUGUUCUUGACGCUGAGGCGCGAAAGCUAGGGGAGCAAACGGG